rnacentral:misc_RNA from 1 species
GCAUACAAUAUGCCGCGAAAAAAGAAGACAGGGUUUGACAUUUGUGUUCAGUAGGGCUUCGGCGCAAUGGGCGAGCGAAUAACAGAAGUAAGUGAGACCCAUUACGAAGGGGAUUAUUCAAACCCGCCAUCACCAACUGAAAACCUUUCCAGUGCAUCAGAAGAACUGCUGCCCAAAUCAUCAUGUGUAAAACAAAGUAUUCCACGUGGAAGACGAGCACAGCAUACAAUUCCUUCACCAACAAAUUCAUCUUCUUCCGACUCAGAAACUGGGCAGUGGAGAAGUAUCAAAAAAAGACUGUUGGCUUCUGGUUUUAAAAAAGAAGAUAUGAGUGACUUAAAUAUAUUUUAUGAUGAGCAACCGAUGCCAAUCGACUGUUUCUUCAAAAUGCUCAAAGAAAAGAAACAAUGGACCAUGAGCACAGUAGUUGAAGAGGAAAUAUUGGGCACUUUUAAGCAGGCUAAUGAAGAUCAGUUGGAGAACUUGAAUAUGGAUUUAGAAACUAUCACUAAAACUGCUGAAAUGCAUUUUGAAACAAAAAAUGAGGACAGCGACAGAGGAAGACGGAAUCGUCAUGCUUUCAAUGAUCUGAAAAGAAAUACCCUUGAUUGUAUGAUGAAUGAAGCCCAGAGAGUGAACAAGUUUUACAGAAAAAUUGUAAUAAAUGGACAGUAUACUGGUGACACAAUGAUCAGGUUAUUUGGUCAGUGGGUGGCAUCAGUAAAUGAGUUUUUGCAGAGCUGUGUUGAUCUAGUGCGGUCCAUAUUUCAUCCUGUGAUACCCCCAAAACUGUCCCACCAUGAGAAUCAUGGGAACGAAAAAGAAAGAGACCCAUGUGAAAAAAUCUAUCAUACGUUGUUCAUGAGCUUUUCAAAACUUUGUUUGCUUCAUCCAAGAUAUUCUCUGUGACUUACAUCUUACAGAUGAGGAAACAGGUUAAAGUUUUGGAGGGAGGUUAACUCGGAAGCCACACAGAAAAACCUAUGGAAUAUUCAGGAACAAAGUUAUAAUGAGUGAAGCAGACAUACACUUUGUACAGACGUUUACUCCCUUUGGAGCAGAUGGGUCUCCUGUGCUGAUAAUGAAUUGUGAGGUGAAGAGAGAGGACCAUCCUGACAGAAGAAGACCAAUGAAAACGUGGAUAGAGAAAAUUAUCAACUCGCAUGUACUGGGGAAGAUUGGAAUAGAACUGCUAAUUGAAAGUUAUGGGUCAUUUUUCUCACCGUAUGCUGUAGGAAUUGUAUGUUUGAGAUCAGAGAUAAUGUUCCUGUUCCUGGAUAUUUCUAUUGACCACUUCGAUGCCAUUACAGAGAACUUAUGUUUAGAUGGUAAACGGGCAUCUAUCCAUUACACCAAAUCUUAUGAUAUACUGAAACAAAAGGACAGAUCUGAAAUAAUGGACAUCAUGUUUUACAUGGCUGCAAUUCAAACCUACAACUUCCUUUUCCCUUUUUAAGUGAGUCAAGCUUUGAACCUGUUAGGUUGCAGUAAUUGACUAAUGGAGGAGAAUAAACAAGUGACAUGUAAUACGGUAGUUAGAAACAUUAAAAAACUUACAGGUAAAAAAAGAAACAUUAAAAUACUACAUGUAAAAAAGAAGCGAGUGUUUUGAAGAAAAGGACUACCUUUCUUAAUUGUUUAUCAAUAAGGGUUUAACAAUCUCUGAAAAUAUCUCAUCCAUGAUAAGACAGAGAAUAUUUUGAGAGAAUUACUUUGAUCUGUUAUUGCAUAUAAAAGACAAAUACCAAG